rnacentral:rRNA from 1 species
UACGUAGGGUGCAAGCGUUGUCCGGAAUUAUUGGGCGUAAAGAGCUCGUAGGCGGUCUGUCGCGUCUGCUGUGAAAACCCAGGGCUUAACCCUGGGCCUGCAGUGGGUACGGGCAGACUAGAGUGCGGUAGGGGAGAUCGGAAUUCCUGGUGUAGCGGUGAAAUGCGCAGAUAUCAGGAGGAACACCGGUGGCGAAGGCGGAUCUCUGGGCCGUAACUGACGCUGAGGAGCGAAAGCAUGGGGAGCGAACAGG